rnacentral:rRNA from 1 species
CCUACGGGUGGCAGCAGUGAGGAAUAUUCGGCAAUGGGCGUAAGCCUGAACCAGCCAAGUCGCGUGAGGGAUGAAGGUUCUAUGGAUCGUAAACCUCUUUUAUAAGGGAGUAAAGUGUGGGACGUGUCCUGUUUUGUAUGUACCUUAUGAAUAAGGAUCGGCUAACUCCGUGCCAGCAGCCGCGGUAAUACGGAGGAUCCGAGCGUUAUCCGGUUUUAUUGGGUUUAAAGGGUGCGUAGGCGGUCUUUUAAGUCAGCGGUGAAAGUCUGUGGCUCAACCAUAGAAUGGCCGUUGAAACUGGGAGGCUUGAGUAUGUUUGAGGCAGGCGGAAUGCGUGGUGUAGCGGUGAAAUGCUUAGAUAUCACGCAGAACCCCGAUUGCGAAGGCAGCCUGCCAAGCCAUGACUGACGCUGAUGCACGAAAGCGUGGGGAUCAAACAGGAUUAGAUACCCGUGUAGUC